rnacentral:rRNA from 1 species
AUUGAACGCUGGCGGCAGGCUUAACACAUGCAAGUCGAGCGGAGUGAUGGUGCUUGCACUAUCACUUAGCGGCGGACGGGUGAGUAAUGCUAGGAAUCUGCCUAUUAGUGGGGGACAACAUCUCGAAAGGGAUGCUAAUACCGCAUACGUCCUACGGGAGAAAGCAGGGGAUCACUUGUGACCUUGCGCUAAUAGAUGAGCCUAAGUCGGAUUAGCUAGUUGGUGGGGUAAAGGCCUACCAAGGCGACGAUCUGUAGCGGGUCUGAGAGGAUGAUCCGCCACACUGGGACGGAGACACGGCCCAGACUCCUACGGGAGGCAGCAGUGGGGAAUAUUGGACAAUGGGGGGAACCCUGAUCCAGCCAUGCCGCGUGUGUGAAGAAGGCCUUAUGGUUGUAAAGCACUUUAAGCGAGGAGGAGGCUCUUCUGGUUAAUACCCAGGAUGAGUGGACGUUACUCGCAGAAUAAGCACCGGCUAACUCUGUGCCAGCAGCCGCCGUAACAC